rfam:Haemonchus contortus, ISE/inbred ISE, WGS project CAVP01000000 data, contig: Hcontortus_13326
GGCCAAAUUUGAAGUAGAGCAGAUUGGUAUGUUCAGCUGACCAUACUAGUCUACUCUACUCCAAGUUUGCGCCC